ACAGGUCUAGUUGCUCAGAAAUCUAGAGAUUCUAAAUGAGGGAGAAAAAGUUUAAGUUCUAGUGUUAUCAAGAAUAAGGGUAACAAAUUUAAGUGGAAAGCCUCGGCUCAACUACCUAUUUCAAAUGUGAUGAGCAUGAUUGUGAAGGGCAUCGAUUCGAAUGAGGGCUGCCAUGAACCUGUCUAGGUACAAAAUGAUGUUGUGGAAAGAAUUGAGGAUCCUCACUCUUCCGCCUAAGGUCAGUUUCCUUUGUUCUUUUCUUUUACAGAUUAUGAUGAUACCAAAUAUCUUUGUAUAGAAUUUACAAAAUGGUGGGAGUCCCGAAUUUGUUAGGGUGGCUAAAUAGUAUAUUGUUGAACAUGAUGUUGAUGUUGCCGUGCUUUUAAAAACUCGAAUUAGUGGAUCCAAAGUUGAUUUAGUAAUUAAUAAAGUUGGUCUUGAUUAUUCUCAUAGAUUUGAAGCUUGAGGGUUUGCUAGGGGAUUAUGGAUCUGCUGGAAAUUGAGUAUCUAGAUUCAGGUCCUGCUUAAUGAUCCUCAAUUUUUUCAUUAUCGUAUGGGUGUUCAGAGGGAGUCGCAGUCUUGCUUAGUGAAGUUUGUCUAUGCUUAUUCUGAUAAACAAAAGAUGAAGUGUUUGCUUGAGUGUUUAACUUAUAUUUCUCGAUCUGUCGAGGGCCUUUGGAUUCUAGUGGGGGACUUCAAUUCUAUCACUUCUUCGAAUGAAAAGAGAAGAGGUCAAUCACUUCCUUUAGGGUGUAAAUUAUUUCAGAAUUUUAUUCGUAAUAGUAGCUUACAGGACCUCGGUUUCAGAGGACCACAGUUUACAUGGAGUAGAGGGGAUAUCUAGGAAUGUUUGGAUCGGGCCAUUGGAAAUAGUGAUUGGUGUUGGAUUUUCCCUGAUGUGUUAAUUUUCCAUCUUCCUUGGUUGAAAUCUAAUCACAGGUCAAUCCUUAAUUUCGACGGUUUCUCCCAAUGUUGAUCGUCAUUUAGGCCAUUCAGAUUCUUGGCCUCUUGGAUUAAUCAUCCACUUUUGAUAAUUUUAUUAUGGAAAAGUAGAGGGUUGGGCCUAAUUUAGUAGGUAAUCUUGCUUCCUUGAUGGAGGACUUCAAAAAGUGGAGCUCUGAGGUUUUUAGACACAUUGGUAGGAGGAAAAGGCUUCUACCUCGACAUAUUGAUAAUGUCCAAGUUGCCUUAGACAGGAGAUUCUCUAGUUUUCUUUUGAAUCUAGAAAUGGAUUUGCAAAUCGAGUAUGAAAAGGCUCUAGAUGAAGAAGAAAGUCUCUACCGUCAGAAGGUGAGAGUGGAUUGGCACAAUUUUGGUGAUCGUAACACUAGGUAUUUCCAUAAUAAGGCAGUUUGUAAGUGGUCUUUUAACAAGAUCUCAGCCAUGAAAGUAAAGGAUUCUUGGUGUUUUAAUGAUGAGACUUUGAAGAAGGAAGCUAUCAUUUAUUUUUCCUCUCUGUUUUCAUUGGAUGGUCAAGCCUAUGUUUUGUUUCCGUUGCAAGGUUACUUUUCAAAGUUGGAUCAAUAUUUUAUAGAUUCUUUAGCCAUGGAUGUUUAUGAUAUGGAAAUUUGUAAUGCGCUCUCUAGUAUAGGUUUGAAGGCCCCGGGGACAGAUGGGCUUCAUACAGUAUUCUAUCAGAAUAUAUGGGAUAUAGUUGGCUUGGAUAUUUGAAAAUGGGUUCAAAGUGUGUUUUCAGGCCUUCCUCUGGAUGAAUUGAUUAAUAAGACGUUUUUUAGUCCUUAUUCUGAAGGUUCGUACUCCAGAAUCUAUGUCUUAAUUUAGACCUAUAAAUCUCUGCAAUGUAGUGUACAAAAUUGUGACAAAGAUUAUAGUUAAUCGGUUCAAACCUAUUUUUCCUCAAAACCAAGUUAGUUUUGUAGCAGAAAGAUAGAUAACCGAUAAUAUUAUCAUUACCCAAGAGAUAAUCCAUUCUAUGCGUAUUAAGAAAGGUAAAAAGUGAUGGAUGGCUAUUAAGGUUGAUCUUGAGAAAGCCUAUGACCGGAUCUGUUGGGAUUUCAUCAAAUAUACUCUUUUGGAUGCAAAAAUCUCACUGUUCUUUUCCAAUGUAAUCAUGGAAUGUGUUUUUACUGUAUCAAUGCAAAUUUUGUGGAAUGGUAUUCCCUCUGAUAUAUUAUGUCCAAUAAGAUGUAUUCGACAAGGAUGUUCACUUUCUCCGUAUCUUUUUGUGUUGAGUAUGGAGAGAUUGAGACACCUUAUUCAUAAAGAAGUUGAUGAUAAAAAAUGGAAACCUUUCUCUCUUGGCAAAAAUAGAUCGCCGGUGUCUCAUUUGUUCUUCAUUGAUGACCUCUUUUUAUUUGCGAAGACGAAUGUUGAUCGGGCUUUUAUAAUAUGGGAUGUUCUCAGUCUCUUCGAUGCUGCCUCGGGACACAAAGUAAAUGGCACAAAGAAAAAUAUUUUUUUCUUAAAGAAUACUAAUGAAAAUAUAUCCGCUGAAAUUUGUAAUAUUUUGGGGUUUAGUAUGGCUGAUAAUUUGGGAUCCUAUUUGGGUAUGUUGUUGUUCUAUCAAUGAGUCACAUACUUUCGAGUUUAUUAUUGAGAAGGUUCGGAGAAAAUUGGAUAGUUGGAACGCUAAGCUGUUAUAAAUGGCUAGUCGAAUUACUCUAGCAAGGUCAAUUUUAUUAUCAAUACUCAAUUAUUUCAUGCAAUUUGUGAAGAUCCCUAUUUCUAUAUGCAAAGAGAUUGAAAAGAUCACAUAGGGAUUCAUUUGGAGGAAAUCCAUGAUUAGGCAGAAGCCAUCUUUAGAUAAAUGGUAUGAUUGCUGUCAACCACUUUCUAAUGGAGGUCUUGGUCUAAGAUUCCUCAUGGAUCAAAACGAUUCUUUUCUUCUUAAACUAGGGUUUAAUUUCCUCUCCAACAAACAAACCUUAUGGGUUUGUUUCCUACGAACUAAGUAUAAGAUAGUUGAUGAUUUCUCGAUAGAGAUUUUGAAGAAUCAGUGCUCUUUUCUUUGGAGGUCACUUGCAAAGAUUUGGCCUCUUAUGCCCCAAUGUGUUGGUUGGUCAGUAGGGGAUGGUAAUCGCAUUAAGUUUUGGACUGAUAAUUGAGUUGUUGGGCUCAGUCCUCUGAUUAAUUUUUGCCAUAAUGCUUCACAAGUUGAUAAAGCUAGUCCUCUUAUGGAGAUGAUGUCCACAAAUGGUGAUUGGGAUUGGCUAUAUCUAAGAAGGUUCUUAGAUGUUAAUAUCCUAUCCAACAUUACAAGUAUUCUGGUUCCAAACCAUCGAGUUGGUCCUAAUACUAUGAUAUCAUAGUGGUAUUCUAAUCAGACUUUCUCAAUCAAAUCUUCCUAUAAUUUCCUUAGAAAGAAUUGUUUAGAUCCUCAAGACAAGUGUUGGAAACUAGUAUGGUCUUUUCCAGGGCCUCAACACGUUAGACAUUUUCUUUGGUUGGUUUUUAAGGAACGUUUACUUACUAAUGAUGAACAAUGUAGAAAAGGUAUGUCAGAUAAUCCUUCAUGCAAGCUCUGCGAUGUGGUGAAUGAAUCUGUCCUUCAUUCAUUAAGGGACUAUUGUCAGGUCAGAAAUGCGUAGGAAAAGGUCAUUCCGUCGAGAUGUUCGUAUAGAUUUUUCUCUUUAUAACUAAAGGACUGGUUAAUGGCUAAUUUGAGGAAUGAUUUUGCUUUAGUUUUUCAGGAUUUUGUUUGGCGUUCUCUGUUUGAUAUUCUUUGCUGGAAGUUUUGGAAACAAAGAUGUUUUUGUCUUUCAAAAUGCCUCGUUCAGUAUUAAUCACGUCUUAACUUCAGCAUAGAGCUAGGCUCAAUCUCUCAAAUCUUCUUUUUGCAAGUCUGUUGUUAACGUCGUGAGAUGUAAAAGAUGCUGCAAAUGGAGUCCGCCCCUGUUAGGUUCCAUUAAACUGAAUACUGACAACGAGCGAAUACAGGUUCGGGUUUAGCUAUUUUGGCAGCGGUGGUAAGAGAUGAGUUUGGAAACUGGAUAAGUGGGAUAGGAAGAAAUAUUAGUAGCUGUAGUGUGGAGCAAGCAGAACUCUGGGCAAUCUAUGAUGGUCUUUUUAUGGCAUAGGAUGCUUAAUGGAGGGAUGUCAUUGUUCAAUCAGGUUGUGAGCUUGUUAUCAAAGGGAUCAAUGGUGAUGUAACAGGUACUUUAUAAAGAGAUCUGAUUAUUAGGAUCUAAGGAAUUAUGUCGUUGAGAUUGUAAUGUUGUUUUUAAGUCGAUCCGAAGGGAAGUGAAUUUUGUUGCUCACUUGUUGGCUGAAUUGAUGAAGCACUACCCGAUUGGUGCCCAAAUCUUCCAUACGGCUCCCCAUUUAGUUAAUCGACAGUUAAGGUUGGAUAGUUUGCUUGUGUCUUUGGGUCCUGGUACUUUUUGUUAGUCUAAUUAUCCACUUCCGUUACCAAAAAAAACAACAACAAUAGUAUUGUAACAAUGCAUUAUUUAGUUUUUUUUAACUAAGUGGAUGUAUAAAUAAAAUUUAAGUAACUGCGAUAUGUUACACUUUUUAAAUAAGUUUACAUAUUUUAAAUUAAUUAAAUUAAAAAUGUUAUUAAACAUAAAAUUUUCAAAAAAUAUAUUUUAAAAUUGUUACUUUAUUUAUUGAAUUUGAUAACGCUCAACUAAUUAGAUUGUCACUUGUCAAAAUUAUAACUAUUUUACCUACAUUUGCUUUCCUUAUUUGCUCUAAGACUGCACCAUAAUAUAUAUACUAAUUUUUUAUCCAGUUAUUUUAAUUAUAAAAUAUUAAAUAUAUUUUUAAUUUUUUAAAAAAUUUAUAUAUUUUCACAAAUAAUAUAAAAUAUGUCUAAAUAUUUUAUAUUGUUCAACUAAUCAAUUAGUUGAAUUAAUUAAAUCUUCUUGAUAAAUUUUCAUAAUAUUUUUGUUUGUUUCAGGCUUUUUAUAUGAAAAGUAGAGGAACUUAAAUUCUUAAAAAUAAAAGUACAAUGACUCAAUUUUAAAUUCAUAAAGAGUACAUAAACUUAUAACCUAUUUUAACUUCUAUAUUAAUUUAACUAAUCAAUGUUUGCAAUUGGAAACUACUACUUUUUAAAUUAGUGAUAUUAGUUAGUUUAUAAAAAAAAUACAAAUUAUAUAUUGAAGUACUUGAUAACUUGUGAAUUAUUUUAGAAAAUUAAUUAAUUAACAAUUUUUUUUUAAAAAAUUUCUAUUUAAGUAAAAAUUAACAAUUCUUGUUCUUUAAUAAUGUUAUUUGAGGUUUGAUCAGACUCUUGGGAUUGAUUAAAAGCAAAGCUUGUAGAAGAAUUAAUUCUUCCAAGGAAGGAAAACAUUUUUUGUUUUAUUAUUUCCUACAAGAAGGUUCUACUAUCAGGAUUUAUGGAUUACUAUAGUUACCUACAGUGAUAUUUUAUCCUUGACACGCCUAACUCAUGGCUAAUUGGACAGUGUAUCAAUACUCAGCAAAAAUAAUAAUACAUUAAUAGAGACAGUUAAACCAUAACUCGGAAACAUUAAAAACAGAUUGAAUAUUUUCAAAACUUGGAAAUACCUUCUCCUCCUUAGCUCUGAUACCAAAUAGUUCCAAGGAUCUGAGGAUGGAAGUCGUAAUUUGAAUUUAAAAUUUGAAAACUUAAUUUGAAAAGUUAAAUUUUGAAAGCUAAAUUUUAGAUAAACAAAUUUUUUAUCUCUCUAUUAGGUAUUUGAAGUCGUGCCUUUUAUUCUCAAACUGAAAGCCUUUUAUAGAGAGUUAUUUCUUCUUUACAGCCUCUUUCUUUAAGGGAUCUUAUCUCUUACAUCAUGUCCUAAAAUUACAUAAUUGUUACUUUUCAGAGAACAUUACAUAAUUGCUACUUUUCAAAUAAUAUAUUUUCUGAUUACAAAAUACAAACUACAAAUCUUUUUUCAGAGAAUAUUCACUGUUCACGCCAAAGAAUAUUUACUGUUCAUUCAUCUAUUCUUGCAGGAAAUUUCCCCUAUUUAUCUUCAUUCAUCUCUUAUCUUUGGAUCAUUUUUUCUUGGUUCUGGUAAUAGUUACUGAGGUGGUAUCGCCUAUAAGAUCCAUUGUUUUGAUUGAAGACAUUGAAGAUUUCUCGCCUUCUGAUCUAGAAUCCAUUGACCUGAGCAUUUCAGCCAUGAGUGUAACACCCCCUACCCGAGACCGUUGUCAGAGUCGAGCACGAGGCGUUACUUGACUUAACUUACUAGUUCGGAGCAUAAAAAAGUUACUUUUAAAAUUAAUUCACUCACAUUCAAUCAAUAUGUCCCUAAAAGAACUCUCGAGACCCUAAAACAUGCAGUUCGGGUCCCAACUGGGAACAUUAAAAAUUUUCCCAUUACUUAACAAAUAAAAAUAAUUUAUUUCACUAUUCACAAUAAAACUGUCCACCUGCGCAACAGUCACUAAAUUAAUUAUAACUCAAGUUAGAAAACUCGAAUUUUAGAUCCAUAAAUUUUAUCCAAAACUAGACUCAUAUACCUUCUUGCCAUAAAAUUUUCAGAAUUUUUGGGUUGGCC
rnacentral:lncRNA from 1 species